GUUAGAUAUAUUGAUAGAGUUUUUUUUUUUAUAAUUUUUAGCGUUUGAAUUUUUCAUUUAAGUCGAUUAGUUUGCAUGUUAUUUCACUUUAAAGUUUUGAUUUUUUUUACCUAUAUAUAUGUAUAAAACGGGUAGACUUGUAAUACAGGUAGUUAAUUGCAGCGGUUAUGAUGGCUCGUAAAGACACACGGCGAUUAUUGACGAUUACUGUCAGAUAAGAUUUAUAAAUAAUGGUUUUUAGACACAUCGUUGUCACCUAGACUGAUAUCUACGGAUACGCGAUUUCUUAGUAAACAUGAAGCCGUUUUAUUUUCAUAUCAAAAUAUUUUAAAUAAUACUUUGAUAUGAAGAAAAAUUAUUUAAGUUCUCUGGAAUUUUAGUUUAUCAACUGUCACACUAAUCUUUGUAGUAUAACCUAAUUGUCAUUUAUUGAUAUCGUGUAUCCAAGUUUUGUGUGGUUACUUAAGUGUGUAAUUUUCUAUUGAAUCAUAGAAAGUACAUCGUUUUUUUCAACUGAAAUGUACGAUUAACAUGCAUUAAAUAUAACUCUUGAUUUAUUGGUAAAACACAAAAAUCAUUUUAGUUCUGAGAAACAGAAGAAUACUUAUUGUGAUUGUGCUUUGAAACGUUUAAACUGAUAUUGUCUAUACUUAUGAAUUAGCUUUGAUUUACCGAACGUUCGUGGAUUGGAACAACCAAAUUUGUGAACUCACAAUUUGUAUUCAAAUCAAUUUAAACAUAUUUUCUUACUAGAAAACCUGCAUGAUUAAAAUUUGUUUUGUAGAAAAAAAUCAAGUUCUCAAUAAACUUAAUUUUAACUUGGAUUUCUGCUAUUUGAUGAUUUUGUAUUGUUGCCAUUUAUAUUUUCAAGCAUACAUUUAAGAAACUAGUAUAAUUUUCCAAUGAAAUCUGUUACUGCAAAUAGAUUUUUUUAAUCUAGUUUAACCUCAUAUUUUUUGGUUAAGUAUGAAAUAUAUCAUUUUUGUAUGUAAAAAAAAAAAAAAUUUCAAGUUCAUUAAGAAAUUUUAGAAGAGUACUGCAAUAUUUGAAAUUUAUGAAGUAAUUUUCUCUUUUAUGAUUUUUUUGGAUUUAAAAUAAAAUUAAUUUUUGUCAUUGCAGUCUAGUUAUAUAAUGUACUGUAUGAAUCAUAAUUAAUUGAAGCCUAAUUUUUAAUUUUUGUUAUUAGAAAUUACCAAUUUAUAAAAGACUGACAAUGUUUGUACAAGUUUAAGUUAGAAUUGUAUUUUAUACUGUAUUUUAAAAUGCUUCCUAGAAUGUUUAAAAUUAGUAUUUUUGAUAAAUAUGGUUACUGUCUUAAGAUGAUUUAAAUUUUUUUGUAAAUCUAAAACUUGUAAGUUAAGGAAUUUUGGUAAAAUUAAAUGUAUUCUUAAGUGGUAUGGAAUGUUUCAAAUUAAUUUUUAAAUGUUGAUACAAUUGUUAAGAUUUAAAUUUUAGAUGGUCAUUUAUUUCUAUUGUAAACUGAAAUUCUAUAUUGUAUCAGUAUAUCUCCACCUUCAUGCUAAAAGUGUUUUUUUUACAAUUUUGAGGUGAAUCAGUUUUGUUUUAUUUAGAUUUAAAAAAAGAAGCCUAAUACAUUACUUAUUAAACAAAAACUUUUAACAGUUGAUUAUUUAAGCAAUUUCUGUAGUAAUGUUCUGUAUCAUAAGGCUAACCAAAAUAAUUUAGUCACGAGUUGUUAUUUUUUAGUAACUUGUAAAAUAUCUUUUUUUGUGAAUUAGAUAUUAAAACAUUGUACUUAUAAGAUGGUUAUUUAUGUUAAAUCACUUAGUCAUUUUUUACAUAACACUUUAGCAUGAAGGUGGCAAUGUUAAUUUUUUUUCUUUUGCAGUGACUUGGUAUUUUUCUCAUUUGGGGCUGUUAAAAUGUCAAUUAUUAACUAUUUUUAAUACAUUUCCCAAGUCUUAACGCAUAUUUUGUAUGAUAUCAUACUUAACGCAUAUUUUGCCUUGGAUCUAGUAUUAAAUGUAUUUAAUAUUGGUGUUUUACUGUCUCAUAAUGACAAAAGUACCAAGUCGAGCAAAAAAACAAAAUUAUUUUUAAUGUUGAAAAAUAUACAGUUAUUGAUCAAUUAAUUUUGAUUAUUUAAAUAAACCAUUGAAACUUAUUAGUUCUAGUAGUGAAAAUAAUAAUAAGUUGCUUUAUUUUAAACUCUAUCAAUAACUGUUACAUAUUAUGUCAUUUAAAAAAAAAGUGUUCCACUUUUAAUAUUAAAUUGUUGUCUGGAUAGUAUAGUAGAAGUUAUAUUUCUACUAUUUCUUAACAUUUUAUUGACUAAUGUUUAAUUGAAUUUAUUUAAGACAAUUUAUUUUCAUGUACAUUUUUAUUUUUAUUAGAAAUAAAAACUGAAUGAGUUGCUUAAUACUU